UUUAGCUCACCUGACCUGAAAGGUCAAGUGAGCUUUUCUCAUCACUUUGCGUCCGUCGUCCGUCGUCCGUAAACUUUUACAAAAAUCUUCUCCUCUGAAACUACUGGGCCAAAUUUAACCAAACUUGGCCACAAUCAUCAUUGGGGUAUCUAGUUUUAAAAAUGUGUGGCGUGACCUGGUCAACCAACCAAGAUGGCCGCCACGGCUAAAAAUAGAACAUAGGGGUAAAAUUCAGUUUUUGGCUUUUAACUCAAAAACCAAAGCAUUUAAAGCAAAUCUGACAUGGGGUAAAAUUGUUCAUCAGGUCAAGAUCUAUCUGCCCUGAAAUUUUCAGAUGAAUCGGACAACCCGUUAUUGGGUUGCUGCCCCUGAAUUGGUAAUUUUAAGGAAAUUUUGCUGUUUUUGGUUAUUAUCUUGAAUAUUAUUAUAGAUAGAGAUAAACUGUAAACAGCAAUAAUGUUCAGCAAAGUAAGAUUUACAAAUAAGUCAAUAUAACCGAAAUGGUCAGUUGACCCCUUUAGGAGUAAUUGCCCUUUAUAGUCAAUUUUUAACCAUUUUUCGUAAAUCUUAGUAAUCUUUUACAAAAAUCUUCUCCUCUGAAACAACUGGGCCAAAUUAAACCAAACUUGGCCACAAUCAUCAUUUGGUUAUUUAGUUUUAAAAAUGUGUGGCGUGACCUGGUCAACCAACCAAGAUGGCCGCCACGGCUAAAAAUAGAACAUAGGGGUAAAAUUCAGUUUUUGGCUUUUAACUCAAAAACCAAAGCAUUUAAAGCAAAUCUGACAUGAAGUAAAAUUGUUUAUCAGGUCAAGAUCUAUCUGCCCUGAAAUUUUCAGAUGAAUCGGACAACCCGUUAUUGGGUUGCUGCCCCUGAAUUGGUAAUUUUAAGGAAAUUUUGCUGUUUUUGGUUAUUAUCUUGAAUAUUAUUAUAGAUAGAGAUAAACUGUAAACAGCAAUAAUGUUCAGCAAAGUAAGAUUUACAAAUAAGUCAAUAUAACCGAAAUGGUCAGUUGACCCCUUUAGGAGUAAUUGCCCUUUAUAGUCAAUUUUUAACCAUUUUUCGUAAAUCUUAGUAAUCUUUUACAAAAAUCUUCUCCUCUGAAACAACUGGGCCAAAUUAAACCAAACUUGGCCACAAUCAUCAUUUGGUUAUUUAGUUUUAAAAAUGUGUGGCGUGACCUGGUCAACCAACCAAGAUGGCCGCCACGGCUAAAAAUAGAACAUAGGGGUAAAAUUCAGUUUUUGGCUUUUAACUCAAAAACCAAAGCAUUUAAAGCAAAUCUGACAUGAAGUAAAAUUGUUUAUCAGGUCAAGAUCUAUCUGCCCUGAAAUUUUCAGAUGAAUCGGACAACCCGUUGUUGGGUUGCUGCCCCUGAAUUGGUAAUUUUAAGGUAAUUUUGCUGUUUUUGGUUAUUAUCUUGAAUAUUAUUAUAGAUAGAGAUAAACUGUAAAAAACGAUAAAUGUCGGCAAAGUAAGAUCUACAAAUAAGUCAACAUGACCGAAAUUGUCAGUUGACCCCUUUAGGAGUUAUUGCCCUUUAUAGUCAAUUUUAACCAUUUUUUCGUAAAUCUUAGUAAUCUUUUACAAAAAUCUUCUCCUCUGAAACUACUGGGCCAAGUUAAUUAUAGAUAGAGAUAAUUGUAAGCAGGAAAAAUGUUCAGUAAAUUAAGAUGUACAAACACAUCACCAUCACCAAAACACAAUUUUGUCAUGAAUCCAUCUGCGUCCUUUGUUUAAUAUUCACAUAGACCAAGGUGAGCGACACAGGCUCUUUAGAGCCUCUAGUUUAUUUUCUGACAAAA